CAAAAACCAAAAAGCCAAAAACAAAACAAAAACAAAUCCCCACCAAAAUUAAUACCUUAACUUGGAUCUUUUAUCCUUCUCCCAUGGCCUGUGUCCCUCACCUUAUGAACCCAUACCACAAAUAGACACACAAAAUUUUAUCACAGGUUUAAAAACUGUUCACUUCACUGCCCCAAAAUGCAAAUCUUACACCACAGCUCUCUGUGCCCAGCUUCAGUGGGAGUUUACUCUGAACACUCACCAGAGCUCUGAAUCAUCACUUUAAACCUGAGGUUUGGAAAUUUCUAAACCACUUUUCUUCUGCCUACCAAAAUUUUGUAUUCACCUUGGAAUUUUUGCUUGCCACUCACAUAUUGCAGACAUGUACGAGGCUGGUUUCAUUUAGAGUGGCACAAAGUGAAAGGUAAUUUCCCUAAAAUCUCUAAAUUAGAUCACACUCUUACUAUGACAUUUUAACUUCCUCUUAAAACAUGUGUUAGUAACAGUAAGGAAGUUAUAAAAGUACAUCAGUUUCUUUAAAUUUACAUACACAAAAAGAUCUCCAAGACUGCCUCAUAUAUAUUGUCUCAUUUAUCAUUUCUCUCUUGUUACUUUUUGAUUGAACAACAAAAAGGUGGUUGUUGUUUUUUUAAGUGGUUACUGGGAGACAAAGAGAAAACAAACAAGAUUCAACUAUUUAUGAACUCUGCACAGGAGCUGAUACUUUAUUUCAGAAGGAUAGAUAAAGAAAAAUAUAUUUCAAUCAAGACAUACUUAGCGGAGAACAAAAUGGGCAUUACUUGGGCCUUUUUAAACUGCUUGGAAAGACUGUCUCAACAAUUCAACCCUUAUUACUGCUGUAUGUCAAGGGGAAAACCCAGUGCUUUGUGUUCUUUAUGUCUCAUACUCCAGUCUCUGGAGUUCUUCUGUUGGCUGUAUGUUGUUAAUGCUAAUCGUGAUAGGGGUUUUUACCUAUGACUGACUCCUACACGUUAGCAUUAACACUGUACCAUGCCUCUUACCAGAAUUCACAUGGAACAAACUGUUGCUGUGGGAGGAGAACAGAAAUCAUGAAUCAGUCAGUGCUAUGCUGGGAAAAACCUCUGCUCUACAUAUAAAAAGUCAAGUUGUUCUGCAUACAGGCAUGCCUGCUAGAAUGCUUGCUAAGUAUAGAGCCUGGAAAAGAGGAGAAAAAAAUAGCAGCUCUGUGUAUUAUCAAGUCCUUACUAGGAUGUGCAACAUUUUGAAUGCAACAACCUGGAUUUUACUUUAUCAAAUUUCAGCUCUUUUGGUUUUACUUCCUACACAAAUGUUUCACUUCUUCAUUUUUAUUUAGGAAAGAAAAAUGAUGGAUUAAACUUCUGGUGUGUACAACUUCUAUUAAUUUCUAUAGAAUUUUAUUAUACAUAAGAGAAAAACUGACA